CCCCAACCCAGCCCCUCCGAGAGUGAGAGACAAUCAGACGCGACAGGGGUUCCGUCUAAGUAGUUCCGCUUUAUUGCCACAAACUCUUGGUUUAUAUAGGCAAGCAAGGGGGUUUUGCGAAGGUUGCACCAAUCACGUUAAAGGUCAAGUCGUUAUGCGCUUCAUUGUAACAACAGUCUAUGGUGAUCACCCGCUGUCCACGUGCAUGGAAAUCAAGAGCGCCAAUCAAAAGUUUUAACAAACAACUUAGGCCACGCCCUCAUCUCUUCCGCCAGGCGCCAUCUUAGCUCUAAACCGCAAAGCUAGCCCUUCUUUUUUCAAGGUUUCCCAUUUAGGGCCCCACACAUGUCCAUUAAGUCAGUGAUGCCAUUCAACCAUCUCCUCCUCUAUCGUCCCCUUCUCCUCCUGCCUUCAGUCUUUCGCAGCAUCAGGGUUUUUUCCAAUGAGUCAGGUCUUCCCAUCAGGUGGCCAAAGUAUUGGAGCUUUAGCACCAGUCCUUCCAAUGUAUAUUCAGGGUUGAUUUCCUUUAGGAUUGACUGGUUUGAUCUCCUUGCUGUACAAGGGACUCAAGAGUCUUCUCCAGCACCACAGUUCAAAAGCAUCAAUUUUCAGUGUUCAGCCUUCUUUAGGGGCCAACUCUCACAUCUGUACGUGACUACUGGGAAAACCAUAGGGUUUGACCCCUGUGAUAGUUAAACACAAAAAAGAGAAAUUGAUUUAAUUGGAUAAACAUGAAUAUGCCUCUUUUCUUAUCUGCUUUCAUUAUAAGUUUUGAUCUUUAAAAUGUAAGCACACCAACAGAUUAUGGGUUCUUCAGAGCCAUUAAUAACACUCAAGGGUCUUGUCUCUUUACUUUCAUUAGCAAUCAGGCAUUUUUAGUUUAAAAAAGGUGAUAAUUAACAUACAAUACGCAGCGACAGAGGCCGCGCAUUCUCGUUCUUAGUGAAAACAGUUGCCAGCCGCUCAUGCAAGCGUUCCUGUUGGACGACCCUGACCUCAGCCUCUCCCACACAGUGCUGCAGUCCACAUUCUUUCAGAGCCCAGGUAAGAGUAUUGGGGACUCAACUAAAUCUUUCCUAAUGAACAUGGCUUAAUUGUCCCAGGAGAUCUGCUCAGUGCUUCAAGCCAACAUCAUAUAACCAAAAAUAAAUAGAAACAAAAUCACCCUUGAAGAACCAGUGUGCCUGCUCAGGUCAGAUGAAGCCAGAGGGCUGCCAGAGGGCACAGCGAGCUGCGUUGCCUGGAAAAAGUUAAACACCAGAGAGCAUGGUGGCUCUGAUACUUUCUAGAAGGAUUAAAGUCACUUUCCCAGUCUUUAUGAGAAUUGGGCCGAAGCUUAGCUGGUGCAACGAAUUUAGAAAUGAAUGCACUUGCAUUUGAAGAUGAUGUGUCUUUGCCUUGAUAGCUAAAAAUUUUAGAACUAAUCUGAACGUCAACUGCAGGAACCUGCUUCUGGCGUGGUUUUGGUGUCAGCAUCUUCUCACCCUCUCUAGUAAUUUUCAGUAUGCAUUUCUAUUUUCGUGUAGUUAUUUACAGGAGCAUUUUAUGGAAAACCGGCUCAAAUCUUUUUGGGUGCAGGGGUAGUUCAAAUGCACUGAGACCCUCAGUGUUCACUUGCUAAUCGCCUCCAGAAACCCUGUUCUCCUCGAGUGACAAGGUCAGCAGGGCAGCACGUGUGUUCCUGUCACUGCCAACUCAAAAUAUGAAGUUUAAAGAGUUUCACAAUCAAAUGCAGUGUCGUGGACUGCCCCUGAAGCAGGUGUUUA
ensembl:lncRNA